rnacentral:misc_RNA from 1 species
GAUGAAGAACGAAGUGAAAUGCAAUACUUGGUGUGAAUUGCAGAAUCCCGUGAACCAUCGAGUCUUUGAACGCAAGUUGCGCCCGAAGCCAUUAGGCCGAGGGCACGCCUGCCUGGGCGUCACACGUCGUUGCCCCCCCAUCUACUCCUUCGGGAUUGCGGGGGGCGGAUGAUGGCCUCCCGUGCGCCUCGUCGCGCGGUUGGCAUAAAUACCAAGUCCUCGGCGACGCACGCCACGACAAUCGGUGGUUGCGAAGCCUCGGUUGCCCGUCGUGUGCGGUCGUCGCGCAUCGAGGGCUCGAAAAAAUUGCCGGGCUCCGGCUCGGCUUUCAACGCGACCCCAGGUCAGGAGGGGUUACCCGCUGAAUUUAAGCAUAUCAAUAAGCGGAGGA